rnacentral:tRNA from 1 species
UUGGGUCGUCGGCAAGCGGUAAGCCACCGGUUUUUGGUACCGGCAUUUCGUAGGUUCGAAUCCUGCCGACCCAGA